rnacentral:rRNA from 1 species
GAUGAACGCUAGCGGCAGGCUUAACACAUGCAAGUCGAGGGGCAGCGCGAUGUAGCAAUACAUUGGCGGCGACCGGCGCACGGGUGCGUAACACGUAUGGAACCUGCCCUUUACUGGGGGAUAACCCGGAGAAAUCCGGACUAAUACCCCAUAACAGACGAGGCGGCAUCGCCUUGUCUUGAAAGCUCCGGCGGUAAAGGAUGGCCAUGCGCCCGAUUAGCUAGUUGGUGAGGUAAUGGCUCACCAAGGCGACGAUCGGUAGGGGGCCUGAGAGGGUUAUCCCCCACACUGGUACUGAGACACGGACCAGACUCCUACGGGAGGCAGCAGUGAGGAAUAUUGCGCAAUGGAGGCAACUCUGACGCAGCCAUGCCGCGCGCAGGAAGAAGGCGCUACGCGUUGUAAACUGCUUUUAUCCGGGAAGAAACCCCAGGACGUGUCCUGGGUUGACGGUACCGGAGGAAUAAGCACCGGCUAACUUCGUGCCAGCAGCCGCGGU